GCCUCAGUGACCAAGUGGGUAAGGCGUCGGUCUCGUAAACCGAAGAUCAUUGGUUCAACCCCCAUCUGAGGCU
rnacentral:tRNA from 1 species